AAGCAUGUUAAAUUAAUCAGUAGUGGAAAGAUCAUUGAAAAACAAUGAGUCAAGAGCUCAAACAAUAACUUUUUACCUAUAUCUUUUGAAAUAUUCUGGCUUGGAUGCUAAUCCACGGAAACUGUCGCUCUUUAACGUAGAGUAUGAAAACGAAUCUUAUUAUUAAGCGAUUUUGUAUCAAAGAUUUCUAAAUCGGUGAAAAAUUUAUUCAAAGUGGUUGCAUAUUAGAAAAAUGUUUGCGAAAAACCGAGAAAACUACGAAAUUAUACAAAGAGAUUGAGUUUAAGAAAUUUGUUUGGGAAAAACAAAAAGCCGUGUAAUCUCCAGUAUUAUUAGAAGAGAUUUGUGCGAAAAAUAUACGUUUACGAAAUGAAAAGAAAACCUCAAAAGCUACAUAAGAAGAGAUCAAGUAAAUAAUUAUGUUUGCAAAACAAAAGCCGAGCUUUUUUAAGUAAAACUUGAAAGGAUCGAACGUGGGUGAAAAAAAAAAAAAAAAAUUAUGAUAAAAUGGAAUUUAAAAAAUAUUUUAAAAUUAUGUAUGUCUAAUUAUACUUAUGUAAACAUCUUGAUUUUUUGUGUUAGCACAUAUAUCAACAUCAAAUUUAAUGUUAACAAGUAUUAACACCAAAAGCAAAAAUCAGUGGCGUAUUUAGAAAGUUUGAAAAAUUUAUGUAGAAUGGUUUUGUUACUAAAGUUGAAGAAGUGCCGUUUAAAAAUGAAAUUCGUUUGUAUACCAAAUCAAUGGCAACCUAAUUAAUGUGUACUUCCUGAGUAUAAAAAGAAGAUAGCGAGAAAGGAAAUAUUAAGUAAUCUUUCGUUUUAUAAAAUUAAAUGAGCAAAUUUAACAAAAUUUGCAAAAGUUGCAUAGAACUUAAU
rnacentral:lncRNA from 1 species